rnacentral:misc_RNA from 1 species
UUUCAAUCCUGGAUGAGAAAAGAAUACAUUGCAGAAUGAUUGAGAUCCAAACGGUCAUUUUGUGUGCUUUAAUCACCAGAUCCUAGAAUCCACUGCAAUCUCCUUUCCUGAAGUUCUCUUCCAAAUUGGAAAACAAAACUAGUACACAAGACUUCUGUUACAAUUAAAAGAUUGCUCUUUUACAUUUUCUGGCAACUACACAAGGAUGCAAAUAUAUGCAAAACCUUCAGAAAAAAAAA